rnacentral:lncRNA from 1 species
CUCCGUUUUGACUUCUUCUCGCACACACAUACAACAGCGGGCGGCGCAAGUCUCUGAGCUGCGAUGCAGAGCACACCUAUGCGGAGCGGCGCGACCUACAACAGCGUUGCUGCGCGUAGGACCAGGAGCAGGGCAGCACCGGAGUGCCGGUCGAUGAGCGCAGGCCCAGAAGAGGACCAUGACGCUGCCAAGGAGGUGAUGAACACAACAAACAGCCGGCGUUCAGGUUGAGUUUCUUUUGUUCCCUGAAUCUCUAUUACGGCUAGUGUUCCUGUAUGUGGGUGUGCAAGUUGCGCUUCUUACCUGAAUCCCUCUCAUGUAUGUCUGCAAAUUAAGUAUUUCUUUCAUUUUACAGUAGUAUUUGGAGCAGUAAAAUUUUUGGAGUCCCUCUCAUGUAUGUCAGCAAGUUAAGUAUUUCUUUAGUUUACAGUAGUAAUUGGGGCAGUAUUAGAUUUUUUUUGUUCUGUGAAUCCCUCUCAUGUAUGUCUGAAAUUAAGUACUGUGUUUCUUUCAGUUUACAGUAGUAAUUUGAGCAGUAGUAAUUUUUUUGCUUCCUGAAUACCUCUCAUGUAUGUCUGCAAAUCAAAUAUUUUUUGCAGCUUACAGUAGUAACUGGAAGAUAUUUAUAGAAUUAGGUAAAUUUUCGUUGGGUACCAAAUGAGCACAUAUCAUAUUUGGAUACAUGGCGUGGUCUAUAGCUAUGCAUGUUAAAUAGUAAUUAGGUUUUACCACGUCCCAGUGUAUUUUAAUCUAUAGGAUUGUGAAUGAUUAAGAUUCAUAGAAUCUGACAUGUAAUCUAGGCAGUUCUAUCUUAUCCAUAAAAGAAAAAAGAUGGAGUAAUUAAUUUAGGUUCGUCGUGACCAUUCACUAGGAUUUAGAGAUUACAAUAUUUCAAAAUUGGUACAGUUUGCGCAUUAUGUACCUUGGAUCACUUUAAGUGAAACGGAAGAUUGUUACUUUUUUUUUGCAUGUACAGCUCAGUAGCUUCUCAUGGUGGAGCACAAGGCCCUGCUGCCAUUAGCCUUGGAAAUGUUAACUCUGUAGGGAGCCCAACAUAACAGAAGUCUCAAGAUGAUGCCUAGAAGAUUGAGGUGAAGAAUGGAAGAUGAUGCAUGGUAGUACAUGUGCUUAGUUGAUGUUGUUCUAUGCCAUUUUGUGAGAAAACAAGAUUGAGAAAUGAUCUUGUUUUAUUGCUAUGUCAUUCUGCGAGGAUGGAUAAUUGUGUACUUAUGUUUAUUUGAUGUUACGUCAUUUUGUGAGAAUCUGAGAGCUUAUUUGGUGAUGUAAACUUGUCCUAUGUCAUUUUGUGAGAAUCUAAGAGCUCAUUUGAUGUUGUGCACUUUUGCUAUGUCUUGGUGAGAACUUGGGAGCUUAAGUGAAUGUUGUGCUAUAUGUUUUAUGUAUAUGUGUUAAGAGAACCCGAUGGAUA